CCCACAGUGUUGGUGAUGCCCACGGUCAGAGCUCGGCGGUCCUUACAGUAACGCAGUGCCAGGAGCGUGUCUGCAGUCUCCCCUGCCACACAGAUCCUUCUUUUCAGUUCACAGGUAAGAUGUUCUUUAUUAGCACAAGCUGGAAUUAAGGUUGCCGGGAGAAA